AAAUGACGAUUGGCGGGAGGGCGGGCUCGCCGGGUAGAAGUGACUUGAAGAAAGAGCGAGAAGUAUAGAAGGGCGCAGGCGCUAGUUCAGUGCUCGUGAGCAAACACCGUCUACAAGAUUCGAGUCAAACAACGUGAGAACUUGAAAUACGUCUCCGUUCUUUUUCCUUAGUACUCUCGUUCAUUCACUUACGGAACUGAUCUGCCUUACUAUUUCCACAAAAACUAGUCAUCAGCAAGAAGCUGCCUGUGGGGUGCACAUUCUCAGGUCAAAUGUUUCCUCUUCUAUAAAAUGAAGAUAAUAGUACCCCACUGAAGGGUCAACAUGAGGAUUAAGGAGACAUCAUUUGAAAUGGAGCCUGAUAUACAACUUAGAAGCAACUUGAGGCAGUAUGGGAGCAUAAAAGACAGCCAGGAUGCCAAAGUCUCCGAGCAGUGAGUAGGAGUCUAAGAAGUUGGAAAGAUUCAUGGACCUCUUCCAGUAUGUGAAAGCCACAACUGUGGAGCAAAUGGGAAAGCAGGUCAGGAUCCAAGAAUUGUGACCACAAUUUUGGAUAUAAUUAGGGCACUGAGACCAGUCGGGAAGAACCCAAGGAUGAUCCGGGUAUAAACAAGGAGCAAAGCAUGCUGGAGAAUUUUGAAUGUUGAAGUGCAUGUCCAGCUCUAGAUGAAACUUUCCUGCUAAAAGAGUUAGUGCCUGUGAGAGAGUCCCAGACAUUGCAGUCCUCAGUUUGUACUUCUUUCAUAAUGCUUAUGUUGGGCUUUGAAAGUGCUCAUUUCUCUUACUAGUUUGUAAACUUCUGGAGGCCAAAGCCUGUGAUUCACCCUUGUUCACAUCACCUGCGUUGCCUAGUGCAGUGCAUUUACACUUUGAAAUUAUGGACUUGCACAGUGAUAAAGUUUGGAUAUGUGUCCCCCCACAGAUCUUAUGGAGGUGGGGCCUGGUUGGAGGUGAUUGGAUCAUGGGGACUGAAUUUUCAUAAAUGAUUUAGUACCAUCCCCUUGCUACUUUCCUCUCAAUAGUGAGCGAGUUCUUGCAAAAUCUGGUCAUUUAAAAGUGUGUGGCACCUCCUUUAACCUGGCUCCUGCCCUGGCCAUGUGAUGUGCCUGCUCCCUCUUCUGUCAUGAUUGUAAGUUUCCUGAGGCCUCCCCAGAAGCUGAGCAGAUGCCAGCAUCAUGCUUCCUACACAUUCUGCACAACCAUGAGCCAAUUAAACCUAUUUUCUUUAUAAAUUA